UCUUGUUUAACUAUCAUCAGUAAGGUAAGAAAAGUACCGGAAGGGGCACAAUUAAUACAAUACAAAUUCUGGUUUGAUUCUAAGAAAAUAUCUGAUUGGCUGCUAUCCAUCAAUAAUAUUUUGAAUGACUAUGUCACUGAACAAAAGGUCCAUCGUCUAAUCUGAAAGGUCCAUAUUAUUUCUGCUACAUUCACCUUCAAGCUUUUCCCAGGUUUGUAGUACUUCUCAAAGGAAUGAUAGGACAUUAGAAAAUUCAAUAUCAUUGCGAUACUUCAGUAGACUACCUUCUAAUUAUAUUCCAUUUCCAGCUGCAGAAUUCGCCAAAAAAAGCAGCACUAUGAAACAGAGACAGGAAACUUAUGACGGCAAAUCUGGGAACUCUCCUCCAUUUUUUCUGGGGUGCUUACAAGGGCAACAAAAAAUAAAACGAAAAGGAACAGAACACUUGGACAAUAUGACUCUGAUCUUCAAACUUAUCUUAGUCCUCUGUAAACUGACGAGGCAGGCGGACAAGCAGAGUAUCAAGAGGGAUCCCCUAGAAACUCAUUUUCAUCUCUGAAAUCUGAUUCUCAACCAUCAUUUGAUCGCUCGUUAAAAGAGGCACCUGAGUCCAUCAAGAAUGUACUAUCAAUUGGAGGUUUUGUGCCAGUACCUCUGAAGAAGAAGCUGUAUGCAUCAUACUCCCCUUCAAAUUAUGCAGAGCAUUUUUCAAGUUGCUUCUCCUGCUAUUUCACCAUCAUAUCCCCGGAGCUUCUCAGGUAUUUCAUGUACUAAAAAUAUUCCAAGUCCCAUGACAUCUCCAUGCCCCUGCACAGGCAAUAUAGG
rnacentral:lncRNA from 1 species